AUACUACUCCCUUCUUCUUAAAAUUCUUGUCUUACAUUUAUUUAGAUAUGAAUGUAUCUAGUCAUGUUUUAGUAUUUAGAUAAAUUCAUUUCUAAAGAAAAGACAUGAAUUUUGGGACGGAGGGAGUAUAUA
rfam:Hordeum vulgare subsp. vulgare, WGS project CAJW01000000 data, contig: morex_contig_1644606